UAACGCGAAGAACCUUACCAGGUCUUGACAUCCUCUGCCACUCCUAGAGAUAGGACGUUCCCCUUCGGGGGACAGAGUGACAGGUGGUGCAUGGUUGUCGUCAGCUCGUGUCGUGAGAUGUUGGGUUAAGUCCCGCAACGAGCGCAACCCUUGAUCUUAGUUGCCAGCAUUUAGUUGGGCACUCUAAGGUGACUGCCAGUGACAACCGGAGGAAGGUGGGGAUGACGUCAAAUCAUCAUGCCCCUUAUGACCUGGCUACACACGUGCUACAAUGGAUGGUACAAAGGGCAGCGAAGCCGCGAGGUGAAGCCAAUCCCAUAAAACCAUUCUCAGUUCGGAUUGUAGGCUGCAACUCGCCUACAUGAAGCCGGAAUCGCUAGUAAUCGCGGAUCAGCAUGCCGCGGUGAAUACGUUCCCGGGCCUUGUACACACCG
rnacentral:rRNA from 1 species